rnacentral:lncRNA from 1 species
CCCUCCCCCAGCCUCGCUGCCGCCUUGCAGUUUGAUCUCAGACUGCUGUGCUAUCAAUCAGUGAGACUCCGUGGGCGUAGGACCCUCCAAGCCAGGUGCCGGAUAUAAUCUCGUGGUGCGCCGUUUUUUAAGCCCGUCGGAAAAGCGCAGUAUUCGGGUGGAAGUGGCCCGAUUUUCCAGGUGCGUCCGUCACCCCUUUCUUUGACUCGGAAAGGGAACUCCCUGACCCCUUGCGCUUCCCAAGUGAGGCAAUGCGUCACCCUGCUUCGGCUCGCGCACGGUGCGUGCACCCACUGACCUGCGACCACUGUCUGGCACUCCCUAGUGAGAUGAACCCUGUACCUCAGAUGGAAAUGCAGAAAUCACCCGUCUUCUGCGUCGCUCAUGCUGGGAGCUGUAGACUGGAGCUGUUCCUAUUCGGCCAUCUUGGCUCUUCCCCCGUUUUACAAUUUAAAGGUAAAGACCUUCACAAUCGGGAACCCGUAGAUUGGAUCUUCUGAAAACAUCAGAGAAAGACUAUCUUUGCCAUCCACACUACAGUAAAACUUUGGAGCCUUGAACCUUGGAUUUAUAAUCUCACAACUGAGAAGGGUCCCUCCAUACUCCUGGAACUGUACACCCAUUGGAACUCUUAAGGAUGAUAUACAUGGCCAGGUGAAGACAGUAGAGAGAAAACAGAACUGAAAACUCCACACUCUUAAAAGGAGAGAGAAGCAAAGAAGGACAGUCAAUCAAUGCCAGCAUUGGUCAUUUUCUGCACCUUGUGAGGACUGACCAGGAUGAUAUAUGCACAUUUUUUUAUUUCAGUCAUCUUCCACCUGCCCAAGGAGGCAUUUUAUCUAGUA